rnacentral:rRNA from 1 species
GCCUCAGUAACGGCGAGUGAAGCGGCAACAGCUCAAAUUUGAAAUCUGGCCCUUUCAGGGUCCGAGUUGUAAUUUGUAGAGGGUGCUUUGGCGUCGGCCGUGGUCUAAGUUCCUUGGAACAGGACGUCACAGAGGGUGAGAAUCCCGUACGUGGCCGCCGGUCUUCGCCGUGUAAAGCCCCUUCGACGAGUCGAGUUGUUUGGGAAUGCAGCUCUAAAUGGGAGAUAAAUUUCUUCUAAAGCUAAAUAUUGGCCAGAGACCGAUAGCGCACAAGUAGAGUGAUCGAAAGAUGAAAAGCACUUUGGAAAGAGAGUCAAAAAGCACGUGAAAUUGUUGAAAGGGAAGCGCUUGCAGCCAGACGUGCCCGCAGUUGCUCACCCGGGCUCUCGCCCGGGGCAUUCUUCUGCGGGCAGGCCAGCAUCAGUUCGGGCGGUUGGAUAAAGGCCUCUAUCACGUAUCUUCCUUCGGGAUGACCUUAUAGGGGAGGCGCAACACGGCCAGCCCGAACUGAGGACCGCGCAUCAGCUAGGAUGCUGGCGUAAUGGCUGUAAGCGGCCCGUCUUGAAACACGGACCAAGGAGUCUAACAUCUAUGCGAGUGUUUGGGUGUAAAGCCCGGGCGCGCAAUGAAAGUGAACGGAGGUGGGAACCCCUCGGGGUGCACCAUCGACCGAUCCUGAAGUCUUCGGAUGGAUUUGAGUAAGAGCAUAGCUGUUGGGACCCGAAAGAUGGUGAACUAUGCCUGAAUAGGGUGAAGCCAGGGGAAACCCUGGUGGAGGCUCGCAGCGGUUCUGACGUGCAAAUCGAUCGUCAAAUUUGGGCAUA